AACUUACGUCUUUGCGCUAUCGAUGAAUCUGAUAUUGGUAUAACAUAGUACGGUGGGGUAAGGGCUUCGACUAAGGCGACGAUCCCUAGACUUGUCUGAGGAGGGAUGGAUCGGGACAACACCUGGACUGAGGACAGCGGCCCAGACUACAACGGGAUGCUAGCAGUGGGGGAAUAUUGCACAACGAGCGGCACGCCUUAUCGCAGCCAUGUUUCCGUCUAUGUAAGAAGGCCAUAUGGGUUGUAAAGUACUGUUCUGUAGGGCGGAUGGCGUUGAUGCUAAUAUCAUCAACGAUUGACGGUUACCGACAGAAGAAGCACGGGUUUAACUCUGUGCCAGCAGCCGCGCGUAAUACGGAGGGUGCAAGCGUUUAUUGGAAUUAAAGGGCGUAAAGCGCACGCAGGCGGUUGAUUAAGUUAGAUGUGAAAUCCCCGGGCUUUACCUGGGAAAGGCAUUUAAGACUGGUCAGCGAGAGUCUUGUAGAGGGGGGUAGAAUUCCAUGUGGAGCGGUGAAAUGCGUAGAGAUGCGGAGGAAUACCGGUGGCGAAGGCGGCCCCCUGGACAAAGAAUGACGCUCAGGUGCGAAAGCGUGGGGAGCAAACAGGAUUAGAUACCCUGGUUGUCCACGCUGUAAACGAUGUCGAUUUGAAGGUUGUUCCCCUGAGGAGUGGCUUUCGGAGCUAACGCGUUAAAUCGACCGCCUGGGGAGUACGGCCGCAAGGUUAAAACUCAAAUGAAUUGACGGGGGCCCGCACAAGCGGUGGAGCAUGUGGUUUAAUUUGGUGCAACGCGAAGAACCUUACCUACUCUUGACAUCCAGAGAACUUAGCAGAGAUGCUUUGGUGCCUUCGGGAACUUUGAGACCGGUGCUGCA
rnacentral:rRNA from 1 species